AACGAGAGAGCACGAGAAUAAAUCUGGAGAGUAAUUAUUAAUGAACCUAGCUGUUCCUUUUCCGAUGGUCUCCAUCUCUUUCAUGUAAAACAUCAUAGCCACAAAAAUUAUAGCCUUGCUUUCCCCAAAAUCUAUCCGGAAAUCAGCCAUCUUCACACCUCUAAACCAUGGUAAAUCAGCCACUAACACCACCUGAAAAAACCUUGAAAACUAGCAGAGAAACUGCUCAUGUAAACCUCCAUUUCCCCAUUAAAACCAAACAACCGCCCAAAACCAGCUGAAAUGCAGCACCAAACCACCCCCAAAAAUAGUCGUCAUCGCACCAUGUUUGCCGACGAAUAGAGGCUCGUUUUAACUUUGUAAGCCACCCAACUUCAGUUGAGUUUUUGAGUUGGGUUCAAGGUUUCUUGCGCUGGUGCAGUUCUCGACCGGAUCGUGGUUUGUUUGUACGAACGUUUUAGCAAUCCUUUGCUCUCGACAAUGUAUUAAAGAUUAUAUUUCAAAUAUUAAAAGUUCAGUUUAUUUUCCUUUCCUUCAUGAAUUGUUUCGAUUUUUUCUUAAAUUUUGCUUGUCACUGAUUUGAUGUUUCACAUUUUGUUACUUGGAUUUGCCGACUUGUAUUAAU
rnacentral:lncRNA from 1 species